rnacentral:rRNA from 1 species
UACAGAGGUCCCGAGCGUUGUUCGGAUUCACUGGGCGUAAAGGGUGCGUAGGUGGUGAGGAAAGUCGGAUGUGAAAUCUCCGGGCUUAACCCGGAAACUGCAUUGGAAACUACCUUGCUAGAGGUUUUGAGGGGGGACUGGAAUUCUCGGUGUAGCAGUGAAAUGCGUAGAUAUCGAGAGGAACACCAGUGGCGAAGGCGGAUCUCUGGGCCAUAACUGACGCUGAGGAGCGAAAGCAUGGGGAGCGAACAGG